CCCGAGACUAGAGUCACAUCCUGACACAGCUCUUGUCCUGGUGUGCUAGAGUCCUCGGAGAAAAUCUGCUGGUCUUGAUUCACUGGCGAGGGCAGUCUGUGCCCCCACUAGUGCCCAGAUCAGAAACAUGC
ensembl:snoRNA small nucleolar RNA, H/ACA box 3B